rnacentral:rRNA from 1 species
AUUGAACGCUGGCGGCAUGCCUUACACAUGCAAGUCGAACGGUAACAGGUCUUCGGAUGCUGACGAGUGGCGAACGGGUGAGUAAUGCAUCGGAACGUGCCCAGUAGUGGGGGAUAGCCCGGCGAAAGCCGGAUUAAUACCGCAUACGACCUGAGGGUGAAAGGGGGGGAUCGCAAGACCUCUCGCUAUUGGAGCGGCCGAUGUCAGGUUAGCUAGUUGGUGGGGUAAAGGCCUACCAAGGCAACGAUCUGUAGUUGGUCUGAGAGGACGACCAGCCAAAAUGGGAAUGAGACACGGCCCAGACUCCGACGGGAGGCAGCAGUGGGGAAUUUUGGACAAUGGGCGCAAGCCUGAUCCAGCAAUGCCGCGGGCAGGAAGAAGGCCUUCGGGUUGUAAACUGCUUUUGUCAGGGAAGAAAUCUUCUGGGUUAAUACCUCGGGAGGAUGACGGUACCUGAAGAAUAAGCACCGGCUAACUACGUGCCAGCAGCCGCCGUAA